rnacentral:lncRNA from 1 species
CGUCUCCCUUUGCCUGUGCGCUCCCCCCAGGGUCUCUUACCUGCGGUGUCUGGGCCCCCCCUUUUCCACUGACUAUUGGCAAAGACUUUCCUUGACAAGACUCUAGUGGGCCCCUCUGAGCCCGAGAAGGCCCACCUGCCAGCAUGUCCUCAAGAGCCCAGUUUUGGCAAGAAUCCUGCCAGGCAGGUUGGUGGGACCCUGCUUAUCUUCUGACCACGUUGCUCUUGCCUGCUGAUGGCUGGUCACACUGGCCUCCUUCAGCAAGGAUCCUGUUGGGUGGGUUUAGCAGGAGUCCCCCUCCCCCUUAGCAACUUUCCAUCCACUCGCCCUCUGCCCCUGCAAGGAUUAAUUAGGUCACCAACUGCUGCAGCCGCCGACGCUCAAGGCCCCCCAGAAGGAGCUCAGGGUGGGGAUCGGGAGUGAGGGCUCUGCGCUCCGGGAAAAGCGGCAGAGCAGGCCUUCAGACGGUCAGGUAUUUUCAGGAGAGGAUUUCACGAGCCCCGUUCCUGCCUCUUCUCACACCCAGAAAAGCAUCGAAAUCAUUCAUGGUGAUGCCUGUCCUGGUGACCGGCAUCGACCCUCUGCCCAGAUGUGGGCUUGACGGUUCGUCUCCCUCACCGAGGUCGCACCUGCCGGCCUUUCCCUGCCUCGGCGCUGCCUGGGGCUCUGUCUCGGCUCGAGUCCUCGUUUUGCCCCCAGUAAAACAUAACUCACGGCUCUCACACCAUGCGUUUUUUUUUUCAUGGACACACAGACCCUCCCGCUCUGCUCCUUGACUCUAAAGCCCCCCCCCCCUCCUUUUUAGGGCCGCACCUACGGCAUAUGGAAGUUCUCAGGCUAGGGGUUCAAUCGGAGCUAUAGCUGCUGGCCUACGCCACAGCCACUGGAAUGCAGGAUCUGAGCCACAUCUUCGACCUACACCACAGCUCACGACAAUGCCGGAUCCUCAACCCACUGAGCGAGGCCCGGGAUCGAACCCACAACCUCAUGGUUACCAGUUGGAUUCGUUUCUGCUGAGCCACAACGGGAACUCCAAAAGCCCACCCUCUCUGGCUGGUCCCCCUCCCCAUGCCACCCCCGUCCCCACAGCACAGGAGCCCUGAGGAAAGCCUGCCUUUCCUUGUAAGGCCUCUGAGAAGUUUCCUUUCACACUGUAUGUCCCUGGAGGACAGAGGUCGUUUCUUACUGUAGUUUGUAAGGUGGGUACAUAAUAGGGCCUCAGUCAGCCUGCAGGGGACCCCCUGCUCUGGGCUCCGUCCUUCUGUGACUCUUCUCUUACUGAAGAUGCUGCCCUGGUGUGUGUGUGUGUGUGUGUGUGUGUGUGUGUGUGUGUGUGUGUGUGUGUGUGUGUGUGUCUGUGUGUGUGAGUCUCAUUAGGUUUGCUCAUCCCAGGUCCCAUCUGUCACCCAGCUAACACUGGUUGAGCACCUGCUGUGUGCCAGGGACUGUGCUGGCCACUGAGUGGACAGCAAUGGCCCUGACAGCUCUGCCUGGUGCCAGGCUGCCUUCUUGGUAGCUGCUCAAACGUUAACUGCCUAAGGACAGAGCAGUGCAGAAAAGCCCCCUUCGGAUACUUCAACAGAAAAGGAGGAGGCGCGGGGCGGCCUGCACCCGAGGUGCGGGCAGGGGAGUGGGCUUCCUGUCCUUCGGAACAGAGACGAUUCCCCAUCAUGAAAGCGGACACGGGUGCUGUCCUCCCACCCGCCUACACCUCGCACUCAGGACCAGAGCGUGUCCGUGACCCCUUCACAGGGGUGGUCCCAGGACACGGCCUCGGCGGGUGGGGCCCCUGAGGGCCUCAGGAUGAAGAAGACUCAGCCACGUAUGAUGUCACACGCAAUUCGGGCAGAGACCCCAAGCCCCGCGAUUCUGGGAGGCUGGGCCUGGUGGUCACAGCAGCUGAUGUACCCAGUUUGCCGCGGCAGGAGGACCUUGCCAGCCCAGGCCCCGGGGGGCCACCUCCGUACAUUCAAAGGUGGGUGAAGGGACAGGGUGUCCUCACGACAGCCGAUUGGCCCACUGCGGCCCCGCCCACACCUGGCAGCCCCUGACACGGGCCAGGCUGGGCCCCACCCCCGUGAGGUUCCGCUCGCCAGGAGCCUGCAGAGCUCAGGACCCGGGACAGCGCCGCUCUUGGGUCCCCCCUGUCCUCGCGGUUUUCCCUCCUGGCUGAGGUGGAAGCCCGCUCUCCUCUCCUGCUCUCACUACCUUCUUCCUGGACGGUCCUACCCCGUGCCCCUCACGGCCCCAGAGUCCUCUCCCAGGGUGUGGCCUGGGGCACCGGUUCUGUAAGCAGGGCCUGGCUUCCAGUUUAGCCCAAGCACCAACCUUUCCCAAGCGCUUCCUGCUUUCUCCCGAUUCUUCUCUGCUUGUAACAGGUGUUCACGUGGCCUCGCUUACUCGUUCAGCAGAUGUUAUUGAGGCCCUUUUAUGUUCCUGAGACGGUUCUGGGCACUAAGAAGACAGGCGUGAACAGCACACGCACACACACACACACUCACACACACACAUACAGGUCGGUGCCCUCAUGGAGCACGCCUGCCACCAGAGGAACACAUAUGAUAAAACAAGCGAACUGCCUCUCAUGCCAGAUGGUGACGUGUGUUCUGGGAGCGACUCCUCGGGGAAGGGAGGCAGGGAGUCUGUCUCCAGAGGCUUUACCAGAAGGUGACAUUGGACUAAAGCCCCACCCUAGAUAGUAAGUCACGCGCCCGGACAUCCGGGGAAGCAGUCACAGCAGGUGCAAAGGCCCUGAGGCGGGACGUGCUUGGCACGUGUGAGGGGGCUGGAGGCCUGCAGAGGGGGUGACGGACGAGGCCAGAAGAGGGACGGAGGGUCCUAGGACACGCAGGACUCGGGCUCUUACCUGAAUGGGCGGAAGCCUGUUUUGAGCAGAGUGACUGGAUCUGACAUUGUUCUGUUUCGCGUGUGGUUUGGAAUGAUUGAUAUUAAAGUUCCAGAGGAUCAGUGAAAAAAUGUGUUUUGGCCUCUUGUCAACUUAUAAAAUGCACAGCGUGAAAGCUAUGAGCUCAGUUUUAUUCGGGGCAGAAUGAGGAGGCAGCAUCUCAGAGAGGGCUCAGAGGGGCGAGGGGCUGAUGGGGUGUAUGGGAGUCUUACAACAUAGGGCAGGCGGCAGGAACAAAAGACUGCUGCUCAUAAGGACAACUAGAUAGCUCAAGGAAUUCAGCGCUUUCCUCUGCGUGGCAAGAUGCAGGCGUGGGCUCCCCGAAGUCGUUCCCGUGCGGUGCCCUCAGCUCUGGGGCCACUGUCCUGCGUUUCCACUCCCGAGGGUGCACCCCGGGCAUGGUGCAGGCUGCUGGCUGCUGGCAGGCAGGGAUUCUUUGUGUCCCUCCUGGGUUCCCUCAGGGCUCAGCUUCAGGAUGGCUGCAAUCGUCGGAUGACUGUGACAUGCUUGGUUUACUGAUAUGGCAGAGGCAAUAUUUUAUUUCUCAGCUCCCACGUCCUGGUCUGACCCCAAGCCUUGGGUGGCAGGCCGGCUUCCUGCAGGUGGUGGUACAGCGGCCACGUGUGGUCUCCAUUUGGGCAGCAGAGAAGAGAGACAUUUGCGGAGAAAGUGCAGCUCCAGUGGUCAGACCAAGAGACAGUUCUGCUCAGGUCCGCUGGCAACAACCCCCCACGGCCCACCUGACUGCGAGGUGCUGGGGGCCCCAGUCCCCCAGAGACGGCGAGGGAGGCCGGGCUUAGGGCAGGAGAACUCAGCUGCCGGCCUGGGCAUGGGGGGCCACAGACGGGCGUGGGGUGAGUUCUCUAUACAGCGUGUCCCCACUACCCCAAGGCACUUGGGACUAGGGUAGAGUAGCCUCCCAGGGGCAAAGGCUUCUCUUGAGCCAAACAAGGGCCUUCUAGCAUCCGAGUUAUUCUGGGUCCUCAGGGUUCUGGGAGGGGGAGCCCAGGCUGGUUUCUCGUGCGAGAUUCCAUGCUUGGGUGGAAAUAGGCCAGUGCUGUUUGGGGCAGUGACGGGAGUCUUCCCACGAGCAGGGUGGGGGGUCGUGACGAUCUAACGUAAGAAUCAGAGAGACCCCGGGGUUCUCAGGAGGGCAGCUGGGCUGGGUCAUCGCGCAGACCCUGGAGCCCCGCUGGAUGAGGGCACGGGGCCAAGGCUGGUGUGGAGGCCUGGUUAAGGGGAUGCCCAGGUCGUGAGAGGCCAGCUGGGGCCCAAGAGAGACCAGCUCGAAAGGGAGGGGUCUGCGGUCUCCCCUCUGCAGCGGGAAGGACACGGCACGUGGGAAGCUGCUUGCUUCCUGCUUCCAGACUGGGGCGGGGACAUUUCCGUUCAGGGGGCCGAGGCGCUUGGUGGUGACAGUGCAGAGUGGGGAGCUCGCGCCUCUAGGCUUGGGGGCGGGGUCUGCGAUCCCCCCAGGCCUGGGCUUCGAUCUUUGUUCCCUUCAGACAGGCCGGCCUCCCAACCUUCUCCGUGUGGCAGGGGCCUCUCUUCAGCCUGCUGUCCGCUGCAGACGCCUGCGCCUGGGUUGCAUUGCUUAAAGUGACAACCUCGCUCCCCUGGAGGGAAAGACUUAACAAACGUACAGACAGAUCAGAGUAAGGGCUGGGCUGCCAGGCCCCCCGGGCCAGAGGAGCAGUGCUGAGGUGCUGCUGCUUCAGCUCUAAGUUCAUUCUCCCGUCACCCGAAGAGGACGCCCUCCUUGGAACACCUGACUAUUCGAGAAACACAGAAAAAGGCAGGGAAAAACCAUCACCCUAACUACGCACACGGCAUAAACGCUAUUAGCGUUUCGUAGAGUUUAUUCGUCUUUCUGCUCAGGAAACCUGCGCGCUGAGUGAUGCACACGGUUUUGUAACGUCAGAGUCUACGACUUUUAUGCGUCACAUUUGAGCCCAAGCCCUUCUCCAAGAAACCAAAAACUUUAAAAAGCAACUUUUUGGGGGGCCACUCCUGGGGCACGCGGAAGUUCCUGGGCCAGGGAUGGAGAACCUGCAGCACAGCAGGGACCUGAGCUGCUGCAGGGACAACACCGGAUCCUUGAGCCACUGAGCCACAGAACUCCGAAAGUGUAACUUUGUUCCCCCUGGAUUUUUUAGGGCUGCACCUGCGGGAUAUGGAUGUUCCCAGGUUAGGGGUUGAAUUGACACUGCCGCUGCUGGCCCACACUGCAACCACAGCAACGCAGGAUCCAAGUCUGUGAGCUACACCACAGCUCACAGCAACACCAGGUCCCCGACCCACUGAGCGAGGCCUGGGAUCAAACCCGGAUCCUCAAGGAUACGGAGCCACGACGGGAAGUCCCGAGUAGUGUUUUAACCGUGUGUAGCGUUCCGUCAAAUUACAUCCAGAGCACAACCCACUUCAAUCAUCCCUAUUGUAGGACGUCCGUCUUUCUCUCCAGAGGAAGAGUUGGCCCCUGGAAUUUGAUGGCACAAAGGACUAGUUACGGCAGACCCUGCCCCCAGCAGCCCCCGUUGCCACGCUCCCUGUCCUUGAAGGUUCUAGAGGGGACAGAUUUAAAAGGUCAGAGCCUGGAGCUGUGAGGUUGCGUUUGUCUGGGUUUCCUGGGCUCUGCUGCCGCUCAGAGGGCUCCGGACGACCGAGUCCCUGGAGGAGUCCCGGGACCUACCGGCGAUUUUCUUCAGGGGUGGGGCACGGCCGUCACUCGAGCAGGUCUCUAAGAAAGUGGCGUAAAAGAGAAAGUCCUUUGUGUUUGCUUCAAAAGCACAGAUACACCCGACAGCUUUCUGUGGAAACCUGUUUGCAUUGUGUGUUCGCACCUUUGAUCAAAGAAUACGAAACGUUUUAAAAUCUCUUGAUAAGUACAAGGACACUGCUUCCUAGAAGGUUGUCAACAGCACAGCUCUUCCAGAAGCAUUUACGAGAACACUGGGUAAAAAUCGCUUAUUAGCAAGACAGUCGUCCAUUAAAAAUACACAUUUGUCUUAGCGCUACUUCUCUACCCGUGGAGGGGCCUCUUCUGUGUACGUCCAUUAAGUGUGUUCCCUUGAUGAGGGUGAGUCUCCACGGCUGGAGCAGAGGGAACUUGGCAUCUGUGGGAAGCUCAGAGUCCCCGCGCUGACACCGGUACUAACAGGGGGCGCCGAGCGCUCGCCCUGGGGCCAGGCCUGCGGGGGCGGCUACAGACCGUGUCCCCUGCACAGAGCCCUGACUCCGCCCCUUCCUGGUGCCGCGGAAGGAGCUCAGCCCUGACGCACCCCGACGGCACCCCGACGGCUUUCACCCUCCGAAGGGGGUCACCGCGCAGGGCGGAGCCUGGUCUCACUGCGCUCAGCCCCGCGUCUUCCUUCCUGGGACCGUGGACGUGGCACCGUGAGAGCCUGUGACUCUGCAGAGCUCUGAGGAGGUCGCGCAGCUUGAGAAACCCCGAGCCCUCCUCAGGUCGGGGCUCUGUCCCGGGAGCAGCGGCGGGGGGACCCACUAAGGCUGGACAUGAGGACAGCGGAACCCACGCGGGGGUCGCAGGCAGGAAAGGCGGACACACAGGGGGCUCUGUAUUUACAGGCCUUGGGGGGCGUGGUUCUGGGCAGGGAGAUCAGGAAGACCACCCCCAGCUCUCGGGACCCCCAGACGUGUGUGAAUUAGUGGACGGCUUUGUGGAAGUCAGAGGCUGUAGGGUGCAGGGGGAAGCCGCCACCACCGGCCGGAGAUCUGCGGCCCUGCGGGGGGAGGGAAGCUGCUGGAAAAGUCCCACCUGUCAGCUGAUGCUGACACAUGCCCUUCACUGUGGCUGCGGGGGAGCGCACUGCUGCCCCUCUUGUGUCUUUUCCACACUUUACUUGGGUCCCUCUCAUCGGAUCCCGGCUCGCAGGGGUCUGGGAAGAGGAGACGUCGACCUCCCGUCGAUGGAGAGUCGGCAGCUCGCUUCUGGGACUGGGGGCGCUUCCGGUCAGACGGAGGCACAGAGAGAGACAAUGCACGGGGGGCAGCUGCCCGCGAGAGCCCGGGUCAAGCCCGAGCUUCCUGCGGUGCCACGGGCACCGCCUGUUCGGGGAAGUGGGGCCGGACUCCAGGCAGAGAGGCCAGGUUUGGGGCGCUCUCGGUUCGGUGGGGGAGCUGGCUGGACGCAGGAAAAGCCUGGGAUGGCGGAGAGCAGCGGUUCUGACAAAGGGAGGACGCCCGGGCCUUGGGCCGUGGGACGGAGAGGACAUGGUGAACAGACGUCUGGACCUGAAGCCCCAGGACGUGGCGGUCACGUCGACUGGGUGGGUGGGGUGGGGGAGAAGGGGGUGCUGACAUGGACCCUGUGGCUUUCAUGAGUUGGCGAUGGUACCGCCUGCUCAGCAAAGGGAUGAAAAGACAGCGACUCUGCUUGGGACCUGCGGGCUUAAGGGAUCUGUGGGGCAUGGCAGUGACUUGACCCUUGAGCCUGGCACGUGUCUCACAUCAGGGAGGGGUCCGCUUCCGAGCGGGUGGUGCACGGGCACGCGGAGGCGAGAUUCGCAAGGGGCAUGCUGUCUGGGAGGGCCUGUAGGUAGGGUGGUUCUGGAUUCCCUGUGCUGGGAUCUGGUUCCAAAUUCACUGGUAACCGAGCUUAGAAAUGAGGUGACUUCUGGAGUUCCCGUCGUGGCGCAGUGGUUAACGAAUCCGACUAGGAACCAUGAGGUUUCGGGUUCGGUCCCUGCCCUUGCUCAGUGGGUUAACGAUCCGGCGUUGCCGUGGGCUGGGGUGUAGGUUGCAGAUGCAGCUCGGAUCCUGCUUUGCUGUGGCUCUGGCGUAGGCCGGUGGCCACAGCUCUGAUUGGACCCCUAGCCUGGGACUCUCCAUAUGCCGUGGGAGCGGCCCAAGAAAUAGCAGAAAGACAAAAAAAAAAAAAAAAAAAAAAAA